rnacentral:RNase_P_RNA from 1 species
ACAGUAGGUCGGCUUGUCGCUGGUAAUUUUAUUACAAGAGGAAAGUCCGGGCUCUAUAGAGCAUCCCACUAGAGAAAAGCUAGCAGGUCGCGAGAUUUGAGUAAUGUGGAAGAAAAUAACCGCCUUAUUUUAUAAGGUAAGGGUGAGAAGGUGAGGUAAGAGCUUACCAGGCAUAUGGUGACAUGUGCGCUGCACAUCUUGGGAAGAGAAAGUUCAUGUAUACCGGUGUUUGAGGGCUGCUCGCUUGAGCCGGAGGGUAGAACGAUAGAGCAUUAUGGCUCAGACGUACAUGGUGACAUGUAUGAUAGAUAAAUGACAGGCACUCCUUUUGGAGUACGGGACCCGGCUUAUAGAUCUGCUGUGAUU